rnacentral:lncRNA from 1 species
CAAACUAUCCCUAUUCAAUUAAGCUUUUUAUCAAACGGUCAAUGCAUUUGAUAGAUCAAAUCGUGUUGAAGUUUUACCGGUAUUGAAGACUCUGUAUUGAAGAGUCGAAUCACGGACGCUUCAUUGUAGUCGUCUUCUUUCAAAAACCUUCGUCUCUUGCUUCGACCAUCUGAAGAAACGAAGACAUAGACAAAUCAUGAGACAGAGACAGAGAAUGUGACAAAUGAUGAACACAUAAAACGCAACAUGCAUAGCUUUACCUUUCUCGGGGAGAUCGAAUACGCAAGACGCCGACAGCUUCAUAGCGGAGUCGUCGAGGUCAGAGCGAGAGAGACGAAGACGCUUUCACCAGCGAUUGAUCAGGGAGGCGUCGAGGAGAGCGAGGAAGACGAAGAAGCUUUCAUCAUCGAUUGAUCACCGAGGCGUCCUCGAGAGCGAGAGAGAC